UUGCUCAAUAAGCUGUAGCCUAGA
rnacentral:piRNA from 1 species